AACAUCGCGCACCUGCGGGAACCUGCGGAAGGAUCAUUAUCGAGUUUACAACUCCCAAACCCCUGUGAACAUACCAAUCGUUGCCUCGGCGGGACCGCCCCGGCGCCCCCGGGCCCGGACCCAGGCGCCCGCCGGAGGACCCCCAAACUCACUUGAUUCCACGGUGUAUCUUCUGAGUGACACAAGCAAAUAAAAUCAAAACUUUCAACAACGGAUCU
rnacentral:misc_RNA from 1 species